UAAAAACCUGGUCCAGACUUUAUUAUCGGCCCUGGCCCGACUUAUACAUGCAAGUAUCCGCACCCCUGUGAGAAUGCCCUCAAUCCCCCACCCUGGGACGAGGAGCCGGCAUCAGGCUCUCGUAUAAGUAGCCCAAGACGCCUUGCUAUGCGCCACACCCCUAAGGGAACUCAGCAGUAAUAAACAUUAAGCCAUGAGUGAAAACUCGACUUAGUCAGGGCCAAAACUCAGAGUUGGUUAAACUCGUGCCAGCAACCGCGGUUAUACGAGAAACUCAAGUCGAUAACUACGGCGUAAAAUGUGGCUAGGGGAAUCAAACAAAUAAAGCCAAAUGCCCUCCAAACCGUAGUACGUACACGAGGGUGCGAAACCCAACUACGAAAGUAGCUUUAAUAACCCUCGACCCCACGAAAGCUAAGAAACAAACUGGGAUCAGAUACCCCACUAUGCUUAGCCCUAAACUUUGAUGCUACCCUUACAAAACAUCCGCCCGGGCACUACGAGCGCUAGCUUGAAACCCAACGGACUUGGCGGUGUCUUAUACCCAACUGGAGGAGCCUGUUCUAGAACCGAUAACCCCCGCUUAACCUCACCACUCCUUGCCCCCCCCGCCUAUAUACCGCCGUCGCAAGCUCACCCUGUGAAGGAAAAACAGUAAGCAAAAUGGGUUAAACCCAAAACGUCAGGUGAGGCGUAGCUUAUGGAGUGGAAAGAAAUGGGCUACAUUUUCUGUAACAGAAAAUACGAAUAAUGCUGUGAAACCAACAUCUGAAGGUGGAUUCAGUAGUAAAAAUGAAGUAGAGAGUCAUUUUGAACUUAGGCUCUGAGACGCGCACACACCGCCCGUCACUCUCCCCAACAAACCUCAAAUAACCUAGUAAAAUAACAAAAAAUUUUUUAAAGGAGGGGAGAGAAGUCGUAACACGGUAAGUGUACCGGAAGGUGCACUUGGAACC
rnacentral:ncRNA from 2 species